GACGAACGCUGGCGGCAGGCCUAAUACAUGCAAGUCGAACGAGCGGCGGACGGGUGCAUAAUGCCUGGGGAUCUGCCUGAUAGUGGGGUAUAACUUCCGGAAACGGUCGCUAAUACCGCAUACCAUCAGAUGAACCUCUAUCGGAGUAGCUUGUUGGUGCGGUAACGGCCCACCACGGCGACGAUCCCUAGCUGGUCUGAGAGGAUGAUCAGCCAGACUGGGACUGAGACACGGCCCAGACUCCUACGGGAGGCAGCAGUGGGGAAUAUUGCACAAUGGGCGAAAGCCUGAGUCAGCCAUGCCGCGUGUAUGAAGAAGGCCUUCGGGUUGUAAAGUACUUUCAGUCGGGAGGCGUUACCGACAGAAGAAGCACCGGCUAACUCCGUGCCAGCAGCCGCGGUAAUUC
rnacentral:rRNA from 1 species